GAUCCUGGCUCAGGAUGAACGCUGGCGGCACGCUUAACACAUGCAAGUCGAGCGGAGGGAGAGGUGCUUGCACCUCAAACUUAGCGGCGGACGGGUGAGGAACGCGUGGGUAACCUGCCCUAUACAGGGGGAUAACGCAGAGAAAUUUGUGCUAAAACCGCAUAAGCCUACAGUACCGCAUGAUACGGUAGGAAAAACUCAGGUGGUAUAGGAUGGGCCCGCGUCUGAUUAGCUAGUUGGAGAGG
rnacentral:rRNA from 1 species